CCCUUAGAUGUUCUGGGCCGCACGCGCGCUACACUGACUGGUGCAACAAGUGUCGCUCCUUGGCCGAUAGGCCUGGGCAAUCUUUGAACGCCAGUCGUGAUGGGGAUAGAUUCUUGCAAUUUUUGAUCUUAAACGAGGAAUUCCUAGUAAACGCAAGUCAUCAGCUUGCAUUGAUUACGUCCCUGCCCUUUGUACACACCGCCCGUCGCACCUACCGAUUGAAUGGUCCGGUGAAAUCUCCGGACUGGCGUGAGUCGGAGCAAUCUGACAAACACCGGAAAGUUGAUUAAACCUUACCAUUUAGAGGAAGGUGAAGUCGUANCA
rnacentral:rRNA from 1 species